GUGAACGCCCUCACGGGCUUAUACUAUUCCAAACCUCUGUGAACCUUGCCCUUCGGGGCUAUUUUACAAACAUGGUGUAAUGAACGUCAUAUAUCAUAACAAAACA
rnacentral:misc_RNA from 1 species